rnacentral:lncRNA from 1 species
GGGGUGCUCUGGCAAGACUCUCCGACGCUCAAGUCAGUACUCUGCUUCAAAAGAAAUGGAGCACUCGAAUGGGAUUUUAGUAGAGUUUAGAGAUAGUGCUUAGAGCUUAGAGGAGAAUGUAUCUGGGGGGUCCCUUCUAUAGAUGGGAGAGCAUAACCGAUUGAUAAUGACGUCUGUAACUGCCUGGUAGUGGGCCGUUCAAGGCCACGUGAAGUUUGUUACGGAGAGUGGAGUGGUGUCCAUUGUCGUGACUUAUCAGAGAGUGGUGGGGCCACGUGGAGUUUGUUAUAGAGAGUGGAGUGAUGUUCGUUGUCGCGACUUGCCAGGGAGUUCGGGCCGGAUGGCUGAAGCUCGGUUGGGAUAUCUGGUGGAGCGGAAUAGCUCUCUGUCUCAGCAAUCUAAGA